rnacentral:rRNA from 1 species
UACGUAGGGCGCAAGCGUUGUCCGGAAUUAUUGGGCGUAAAGAGCUCGUAGGCGGUCUGUUGCGUCAGGAGUGAAAACUCGGGGCUUAACCCCGAGCCUGCUUCUGAUACGGGCAGACUAGAGGUAUGCAGGGGAGAACGGAAUUCCUGGUGUAGGCGGUGAAAUGCGCAGAUAUCAGGAGGAACACCGGUGGCGAAGGCGGUUCUCUGGGCCUUACCUGACGCUGAGGAGCGAAAGCGUGGGGAGCGAACAGG